UGACUGACUGAAGAGUUUGAUCCUGGCUCANGAUGAACGCUGGCUACAGGCUUAACACAUGCAAGUCGCGGGGCAGCGGGAGGAGUGCUUGCACUCCUUGCCGGCGACCGGCGCACGGGUGAGUAACGCGUAUCCAACCUGCCCCUGUCCCCGGCACAGCCCUCCGAAAGGGGGAUUAAUGCGGGAUGCGGCCGCGCGACGGCAUCAGGUCGCGGCGAAAGGGUAUCUGCCCGGACAGGGAUGGGGAUGCGUCCGAUUAGCUUGA
rnacentral:rRNA from 1 species